rnacentral:lncRNA from 1 species
GUACGGGUGGUUUUGGCUUCCACCCAUUUAGAGACAUAAUCAACUGCAAGUAAAAUGUAUAGGAAACCAAAAGAUGAGAGAAAAGUACUCAUAAAAUCUAUCCCCCAAACAUAAAAAAUUUCAACAAAUAACAUGGGGGCUUGAAGCAUUUGAUCCUUACGAAAAAUAUUUUUCACCCUUUGACACCUAUCACAGAAUUUGCAAAAUAAGUACGAAUCUUUAAAAAGGGUGGGCUAGUAAAAAUCACUCUCUAACACUUUGCGAGCUAUUCGCUUGAGUCCAAAAUGCCCUCCACAAGCAAACGAAUGACAGAAAUUUAAAAUAGAGUGAAAUUCACCUGUACUUACACACUUUCUUAGCACUUGAUCCGAACAUUGUCUCCAAAGGUAGGGGUCGUCCCAAAUGUAGUAUUUGGCAUCACUCUUCAAUUUAUCUCUCCUAACAUUUGGCCACCCUGCAGGCAAUUGAUUAGUCACUAAAAAAUUUACUAUAUCGGCGUACCAGGGUGUAGACGAAUCAACGGCAAGAAGUUGCUCCUCUGGGAAUGUCUCCCUCAAUGGUUGUUCUUCCUUAUGUGUCAGCAAACGGCUCAAAUGAUUGGCAACCAAAUUCUCUACCCCACUUUUAUCUUUUAUCUCCAAGUUGAACUCUUGCAGGAGUAGGAUCCAUCUGAUAAGUCUCGAUUUUGCAUCCUUCUUUGUCAUCAAAUAUCUCAAGACUGCAUGAUCAGAGAAAAUUGUUACUUUUGCACCUAACAAAUAAGGUCUAAAUUUUUCUAAUGCAAAAACCACAGUUAGUAAUUCUUUCUCUGUUGUAGAAUAGUUGAGUUGACCUCCAUUCAACGCAUUUGAUGCAUAAUAGACUGCAUGAGCCGCCCUGCCAAUUCUUUGCCCCAACACAGCUCCCACUGCGUAGUCACUCGCGUCACACAUAAUUUCAAAUGGGAGGCUCCAGUCUGGAGGUUGAAUGACGGGCGGUGAUGUUAACGACUCCUUCAAUUUGUCAAAUGCCAUCUUGCACUCCUCGGUGAAGUCAAAUGUUACAUCCUUCUACAACAGUUUGAACAGGGGCACUCUAAUUUUGGAGAAAUCUUUGAUGAAUCUCCUGUAGAACCCUGCAUGACCAAAAAAGGAGCGUACUUUUCGUACACUUACGGGGUAAGGUAAAGCAGAAAUAAUAUCGACUUUUGCUUCAUCUAUUUCUAUUCUCCUAGUCGACACUACAUGCCCUAAGACAAUACCAUACUCCACCAUAAAAUGAUAUUUUUUUCAAUUAAGUACCAAAUUUGUUUCUAUGCAUCUUUUUAAAAUCAAAUCUAAGUUAUCAAGGCAUUCAUCAAAACUAUCCCCAUACACACUAAAAUCAUCCAUAAAUACCUCAGUAAUCUUUUCUACAUACUCAUAAAAUAUACUUACCAUAUACCUCUGAAAAGUCGCCGGAGCAUUGCAAAGGUCGAAAGGCAUCCUCCGAUAGGCAAACGCGCCAAAUGGGCAGGUGAAUGUAGUUUUCUCCUGGUCCUUCGGUACUAUCGCGAUCUGGAAAUAAUCCGAAAAAUCAUCAAAAAACAGUAAUAGACACGACCAGCUAACAUUUCUAUCAUCUGAUCAAUAAAUGGGAGAGGAAAGUGGUCCUUCUUUGUCACAGCAUUCAGACUCCGGUAAUCAAUGCACUGACGCCAUCCUGUGGGUUUCCUCACUGGGACUAUCUCGCCCUCCUGGUUCUCUUUUACGGUUACUUCUGCCUUUUUCGGGACUAUUUGGACUGGGCUCACCUACGGACUGUCUGAGAUGGCGAAAAUGAUCCCCACUUCCAAGAGUUUAAAUAUUUCCUUCUUUAUCACUUCCAUCAUUAGUGGGUUCAAUCUCCGUUGCGCAUGUCUUACCUAUUUUCCAUCAUCUUCAAGCUGGAUCUGAUGCAUGCAUAAGGAGGGCUAACUCCCUUGAUAUCUGUUAUGUUCCACCCAAUCGCCUCCUUAUGAUUUCGAAGAAGACGAAUCAGGUUGUCUUCUUGUCUUGGUGACAGAUGUGCAGAUAUGAUGACCGGCAGUGUCUCUUUGUCCCCGAGAAAAGCAUACUUCAAAUGCUUUGGGAGAGGCUUGAGCUCCAAUUCAGGUGCGUGCACAAUAGAAUGCAACAAUUUCGCCAGAAUUUCUGGUACAAAAAGAGAAGUAAGCUCAUAUCUUGGAGAAAUUGGUGGAAGCGAAUGCAGUGCUUCAACUGCACGAUAUAACUCAUCACUUAAUCCUGCAUCAGGAGUUGCUCCCAACUCGAGAUACUUGGCUAAUGCCACUGCCAGUGCAUCGUCCCCAUCCAAUUCAAACGUUUUCUGCACAAGGGGCUCAAUAACACUUAAAACAAAAAUGGAGUUAGCCUCAUCCAGGUACUUCAUUGCAUCAAAAAUAUUAAAAUUUACAAUUUCUCCAUCAAACUCCAUUGAUAAGGUACCCUCAUUUACAUCUAUUUUCGUCCUAGUAGUGCUUAAAAUGGCCUACCUAACAAAAUAGGUGACAGAUGUAGUGCCCUUUCAUCCCCCAUGUCUAGGACAUAGAAAUCUGCAGGAAAAACUAACUCAUUGACCUGUACCAAAAUAUUUUCAACUAACCCUUCUGGAUAAGCAUUGGUACGGUCUGCAAGUUGGAUUAUAAUGCCUGUGCCUUUUAGUGGGCCAAGAUUAAGAGAAGCAUAAAUUGUUUUAGGCAUAACAUUAAUUGAUACCCUCAAAUCCAACAUCGUUUUCCUAAUUGGGGUACCUCCUAUCUUGCAGGGAAUGGUGAAUAUACCUAGGUCUCCACAUUUUGGUAGGAGUUUCCUUUGAAGCAUAGCUGAUACAUUUUCUCCCACCGCCACUCUUUCGUCACCCUUCAACUUCCUCUUGUGGGUGCACAAAUCCUUCAAAAACUUGGCAUACUUAGAUAUCUGCUUGAUUGCAUCCAGUAAGGGAAUGUUAAUCCCCAUUUUUUGGAACACAUCCAAAAGCUCUUUUUUCUUCUCUACUUUCUUUGUCUUCUCUAACCUGCAAGGAAAGGGGGGGUAAGUUAGAUUUAAUAGUGGGUGGAGAAGUGAAGGUUACCUUAUGAUCCUUGCGAAUACGUCAUUCCUCUUCAAUUUUCUUUUCUAUCUCCUUCUCACUUUUGCUUUUUGAAUUUUCCACUUUAGCCCCUUCCAGUUCCUUGCCACUCCUUCAGUGUCAUGACACUUACAUUUUUGGGAUUUAUCUCGGGUUGAGAUGGUAAUUUUUCAUGGACGUGGGACUGCAGGCGAUUGAUGGCAGUUCCCAAUUGGCUUAUUCGAGUAUCCAUAUCUUUCAUGUCUGCUCUGGUGUCCUGCUGGAACUGAGUGGUACUCAUGGUUAAGGCUCUAGUUUCUUGCUGGAGUUGGGCCAUAUUCGUGGUCAAUGACCUGGUCUCCUGCUGGAGCUGAGUAGUAGUCAUGGCCAGACUCUUGACAAUAUCCUCCAGAGAGCUACCUGAAUUGGCGGACGAAGGUUGAGGCUUUUGCUGCCAUGGUUGCUGAAACCCUGGUGGACGAUUUGAAAGUGAAUUUGGUUGCCUGUUCCCAUAACUAAGGUUGGGUGGUCCCUCCAACUCGGAUUGUAUGUAUUGGAGUACGAGUUAUACUGCCUGCGUGGCGCGAGCACGCUUCCUACCAUGUUUACCUGUUUCGCCCCGUUCUCUUGUAAAAAGGGGCACGUGUCCGUGCAGUGGUCCAUACUAGUGCAGAUUUCACACACCUUCACUCGUGGUGUGUUCCCCAUGGCUAAUUGCCUAACAGCGGACGUCAACUCUGACAAUUGUUGCUGAAUGGAUGACGUCUCUAUCUCAUUGACCCUACGAGUGGGGUUAAUCUCACGGUAGUCAAACUACUGAGAGUUCUCUGCCAUGACUUCAAUAAGCUCCCACGCCUCCUUCGAUGCCUUGUUCGUCAAGGUUCCUUCACUCGCAGCAUCAAUGAUACUCCUGUCAGUUGACUGGAGCCCUUCAUAGAAGUACUGGAUCAAUAGUUGCUCACUAAUUUGAUGUUGCAGACAUCUAGUGCAUAACUUGUUAAACCUUUCCCAAUAGUCGUAUAAGGACUCCCCGGAGUACUGCUUGAAGCUGCAUAUUUCCUUUCUCAAACUCGCAACCCGGGAUACGGGGAAGAAUUUUUCUAGAAAUUUCUUUUUCAAUUGUGCCCACGUGGUGAUACUACCAGCAGGGAGAUGGUAUAGCCAAUCCUUCGCUGCAUCCUUGAGAGAAAAGGGGAAAGUUCUAAGUCUUAUUUGCUCCUCAGUGACCCCAAGAGGUUUCAUAUUAGAGCAAACUAUCUCGAACUCCUUGACAUGUUUGUGGGGUUUUUCACCAGAAAGACCAUGGAACGAAUGUAGGAGGUGAAUCAACCCCGACUUCAGCUCGAAAGCGGUAUUCUCAGCCAAAGUGGGGAAUGUGAUGCACAAGGGCUGGUGAGUCAACUCCGGGGCAGCCAACUUCCUUAGUGAUUGGGUGUUGGCCAUGCUAAAUUCGUCUUCUGCUGGCUCGUUUGCAGUAGAUAAGUGCCCUUCUUUUCGUCUCUUGAUCUCUUGCCUUCGCCCACGCGCUGCCUUCUUAACCUCAGGAUCGUAUACCAAUUCACCUGUGCGAGAAGAAUGGGGCAUAAACUAGCAAAAAUAUCAAGAAGAAAAAGAAAAAAAACUGAACUCAAAAAGAAAUAAAUAUUUCAAAUGACAGUCCCCGACAACGGCGCCAAAAAUUGACAGGUGCCGAACCUGUGCAAUAAUAAUAAAUAAAAUCUAAGUACCACCUAAAGCAGUCAAUAAUCAAUUCUAGUACUGAAGCAGGGACUCUAGGUGUGCAAUGGGUUACUUGAUUCACCCUGUUCCUGAAGAGUUUGCUUAAUCCAAUAUACAUGAAUUAAUUAUUUAACUGAACUCACAAACAAAUAGACAGUGGUAAGCAUGGUCGUCUCCUCAGGGACUGGAGAAAAAUUUAUUUCUUACCAAGUCAAGAUUAAUGGGAGGUUUUGAGAUUAAAUGCUAAUUAAACAAAUUAAAUGCAGAAAAUAAUUAAAUAAAAGAAAUAAUUAAGAGAAACUCUAGCCAAGGGUAUACUUCAGAAAUGGUUCGUACACUGAUCAUCGAUUCACAGAUAAUUCCAACAUUUAGUAAUAGAUUAGUUAUAGUUGUCAUGCACGCGAUAAACAACCAACCCUUCCUUAAUUUCUCGAUAGCCAAGGUACGACCGUUAGCUAUUUUUUUAACUCAUAAACAACCCUAGAUACGACCGUAGAAUUAAAUUUUUAGAUUGCAUUAAUAAUUAGAAAGGUCCAAUCCUAACCAACAAACACGCUACGAGAGUUCGUUUAAGUUAGAUCAUAUGCUCCCCUGACAUAAAUCUGAUUACGCCAGUUGCUACUAAGAUAGAGAUAACGAACAAUUACGGAUUCAAUUACCCCUAUUUAGCAAAAAUAGCCUAUAUGGAUAAUUAAUUAUUGCGCACUAAUCAAUCAUACACAAGUUCAUAGCAAUUAAAAGUAAGGAACAUAUAAAUAUCAAUAAAUGAAGAAAAUAAUUAAAAGCAGCUUAUAUCUCACAGUAGUUGUUGAACCAAUUCGUCAAUUGCCCCCUUGAUUAGAAUUAGGGAUUUAGUUCCCCAUAAUUAAUGUACAGGCCAUGCGGACAAGGUUGGAAGAAGCCAUCGAUUCCUUAAUCAAAGCGAACGAAAGAAAUUGCCCCUCGUUAAUUCCGGUCAACCGAAGAAAGAAAGGGGACAAUCGAUUAUGGUGGUUUUCAAUUGUUCUCCUAAGCUAACCGUAUAGAGAGUGCACACUUUCAAUUUUCUUCAGUCAAGGCCAGGGUGAAAAGCAAUGUCAAAAGUCCACAGUUGCAGCUCCUCUUAGCUUUCUUUCUUUCCUCACAAGACAUACGAGAGAUUGGGUUUCAAUCAAUUGAUUUCUCCAAAUCAAUUCACACAAGAUAGAAAAGCCAGAAUACAAAGUCAACAAUUGCGGCCUUCUUGUCUCUUUUUUUCCCCGUUACAAAGCCACGGCCAGCCCCCUUUUUUUAAGAACAAAGGGAACGAAAAAGGAAGAAAACCUAAACCAGACAAGAGGUAAAAAAAUUGUUUUCAGCCAGCCCGCUCUCUGGAGUCUAAUACCUUCCCCUAUCCGACCUUCCAGGAGGGGCUUUUUUUUUUCUCCUCUCGAGAAGUGGUCUUUUACAAAAUUAAAACGAGACUCUCUAAAAUAAAAUAAAAUAAAGUCUAUUACAAUCAAAUUUUCUCAGCUUCUCAAGGGGGCCCCACGUGCGACAAAUCUUCGAAAUUUUGACUUUAAGUACUUUUUAGCAUCAAUUCCUGUAAUUAGUAUCAAAACAAAAUAUCAGUAGAAUCCACCCAAUUAAUGAAAAUAUUUAGUCAGAUAAACAUGCAUUAAUGCCCAAAAUACCCCGCUAAAACGCACCCUAUCAUUAUUGCGGGAAAACUCAGCGUCAACGUUGGUGGACCGACAAGAAACAAUGGGCACACUCGAUGUCAAUUUCGGUGAUUUUUUUUUUGGUUUUAUUGGAAAAAUAAACGUUUAUGUGGUUUUAGCUCAAGUUAUCACUAUGGCUCACGACAUCCCCGAUCAGUUACUGAACAUCUAUAUAUUGUACAUUGUUCAUUGUAAAAUAUGUAAUCGAAAAUAAUUGCCUUGUUUGGCAGACAAGUUUUUCUGCUACAAGUUUUUUAAAAACUUUAAUUAUAGUAACUUCAAAAAAAUUUUCAAAAUUUUUAAAUUAUACACUUCAAAAUAUUCAAAAAAAAACACACUUCCAAAAUUUUUUAAAAAACUUUUACAGUAAAUUAUAGUAAAGUUUUAGACAAACACCUAAAAAACUUAUUUGCCAAACAGGGUCUAAGAGUGGUGCAAAUUAGGAAGGAUUUCCGCAACGAAUGUUGUCUGUAUUCGUUAACAUACCGAUAUUUCACUCAAUCUAUCAUAUAUAUAUAUACACACACCAAUAAUAAUUAUUUUUUCUUACAUUUAUAAAUUUUUUAAAAUUAAUCUCCUUAUAUAUAUUAAUUAAUUUUAUAUUUUUAAAAUUUUAACACUUGAAAUAUAUUUUAAUGCAUGCCCACAAGACACUCGCUAAACAAAUCGAAUUAGAAAAUCACGGCCAAGUGAGUCAGGCAGGCAAAUGAUCUCAUUCGUCUAAGUGUGUUGCUAUUUGAUCACAUAUAGGUCCCAUUUGGCAAGUGAGUUUUUUGGAUGUUUAUCUAAAAUUGUAUUGUAAUUUACUGUAGAAGUUGUAGAAAAAAUUUUUGAAGUGUAUAAACAUAUGGAUAUUUCGAAGUAUAUGGUUUAAAAAAUUUGAGAAGUUUUUUAAAAUUAUUAUAGUUAAAAUUAUUUAAAAACUUGUAGCAGAUAAACUUGAUAAAAAACUUGCUUAAUAUCUUCAUAUAACUGUGAUUUUAGUGCAUAAUCUACGAAAAUUUUCCUUUCCUAUUCUAUCUUUUGUCCCUGCUGACCUCGGGUCCUGACUGCCAUUGUUCAACCUUCACUUUAUUCAAUUAGUACCCUCAAAAUUAACUUCCAAGUUCCAGCAGGUGGAAAAAUUUCUAAGAUGGAAUUUAGGUCCCCCACAUUCAAAGGUUUAUUACUACUACACACCCAUAAAUGUCAUGCAAUAAUUUCACUCUGCUUCUAUAGGCCCACCAAGUUCAUUGAAUUAUUGUACUACUACCCAGCCAGGAAAGUCAUGAUCAAUUUCACUCUAGUUUCUCCUCUAAGUAGUCCCAUCUCCCUUGCUAAAAAUCUUGCACUUGCAAAAUAACUGGCCAAACAGUCCAAUGCAAACUACAUCUGAUUAAUUGUAACUCUCUAACUCAAGCAGUAUGAACUAAUCAACUCUGUACUAAUAUGAAUGGAGAAACUUUUUCUUGUUGCGGUCAAUUUUAAACAGCAUAUAUAACUUUGCAAUUAAGGCUAAAGAUUAGACUGAAAAAAGAAAUAGUGGGCAUACUCAGUGUCUUGUCCAUUAAAUUUUUUUUGGUAAAAUAAAUAUUUAAAUGGUUUUAACGCUAAUAACCACCACAAGUCAAGACACGUCCCAAAAUCAUACAUUUAGGGAUGGCAAUGGGACAGGUUUGAGGUGGAGGAAUCCUCACUCAUCCCCCAUCCCGACUAACCUCGUUACCCUCGCAGGUGCACCUGUCCUGCCCCAAUGCCAUUUUUAGUUUUUAUUUAGUCUUAUUUUUUCUCUUUAUAUAUAUAUAUAUAUAUAUAUAUAAUGCUAGUAAUAAUUUUAUUGAUCAUUCUUUUUAAUUUUUAGCAAAAAAUCCAGCAAUCGCCGUGAAAAGUAUGGAUGUCAGGUUCUUUAAAGAAGCAUCGAUGUCCAUGAUGUUGAAUUAGUGCUUAUUGAGUUAGUUGUUGAAAAGGAACACAGCGAAAUGACUCAUUCUCUGAAAGCUUUCAAUGGUUGAAUGUUAUCCAUCAACUUCUGUUUCAGAACUCAGAACAAUGUGAUUCAAAUUAGAUUAGGCAAGCAUUUGAGGAUGAAAUCCAUAAGUUUGUUAGAGUUUUAGUUAACUGCAUUUAAUUUGAUCCGAGAAAAGGUCAUCCAUGCUAAAAAGUGUACAAAAUGUUGAGCUAAAGAUGUGUCUUCGCAAAUGAUUCAGGACUGGUGGGAAUUUGAAUAUGGCUUUCCCAGCAUGGAUGAUUUUUCCUUUUGUUGAUCUUCAGAACAGUGUUUCCAUAUCCACUUAUUGGGAUACUUAUAACGUUUAGAUAUAAGAAUACCAUUUAUAAUACUGAUAACGAGACAUAAUGGAAGCCCAAUACUCCCCACGAACUACGGGCGCAUGCACGAAUUGAUCUUUUAACUUGUCUGCAUAAUAACUAGUGAACGUAGAUGGGUUAAGUGCGCACAAUUCCGUUAUGUUUUGCAGGUAGUGGCAUUUGAACACAGAAAAUCAACAUAUUUUAGGGUUUGUUUGCUUGGAUGUAAAAUCUUUUCAUGGGAAAAAUAUUUCAUUGAAAAUCAUUUUCGGUUGAACAUUUUUUUUUUUUAUAAUUAUUUUCAGAUCUUUGAUUCCCUUCCUGAAAAUUUUGGCUUCAUAUAUUACGCACUUUUCUCUUCAACUUGUACCGAUCUUCCACUCUAUUUUACCACUGCUUCCCACGUACCCAACUCCCAUUACACAACUAGUAUUUUGACCAGUGCUAAGCACGAAUUUAUAUUUAAUACAAUAAUAAUACUAAUAAUAAUAAAUAAAUUAUUUUUUAUUAAUUACACGAAAAAAAAGUUAAGAAAUCAAAAGAGUGCUACUUUUGUAUCUAAUUUUUAUUGUAUUUAUGUACCUUGUCUAAAACUUUAAAGUAUAUUAAAAAAUAUGAACAAAGAUCACAAAAAUACCUAAAGAAAUACUAAAAGUGCAUCAAACACAACAUUAUUAACCCCCCCCCCCCUCCAUGUGUCUUCCUCUUUGUGCCACUUUCUCUUAACAUUCCACUACUCUUCAUUACCCUCUUUCUUACCUUCUUAAUUCAAACUUCCCACAUUCCUCCAACUUUUUUCCCUCCCACAAACUCUACCUUCCCUUCACCCUACUCUGCUUUUUUCAAAUUGUGCAAUCUCUUACUAAUUUCGUAAUCUAUUUCCUGCCAUCCUAUUGUUCUUUCCACCCAUUUAUAGUUAUAAAUAGUGACCAAUUUUGCAACUUGUUCUUGAACAAAUGAGUUUGGGUAUGCCAUCUACUUAGGUUCAAAUGGAUAACCUAAUGACACCCAUUAAUUAGUGACUAUUAAAUGGAAGGAAUGGCAUCACUUAUUUAGAGCUAAUUAAAUUAGAUGUAGAUUCAAAUUCAAUCGUUAGUAAGUAAAUUUAAAUCACUACCAAUUCAAUAAUUAUACUCUACUUUUUGCAAAGGCAUAUUUAAUGUUCUUUUCCUAUUCUUUAAUUUUCAUUAUUUUAAUUUUUGUUAAAUUUCAUCCUACUUCCUCUCCCUUCCAUCAAAGUUUUAAUGAACUCCUUGAGUGUUAAUUGAUUUUAACAUUCACACCUAAAUUAUUUUUAGAUUCUUAUAGAGUGAUAAAAUUUGAAACUCCUUAUGAUCACCACUAUUGAUUCUUCCAUGUAAUUUGAGAAUUUUGGCAAAGUAAAAAAUGAAAAAGUUCCUGAGCCAUAUUUGAGAAAUUUCAACUUACUAGGUUAAUAAGUGUAAAUGCUGCUCUUACGAGGGAAUCAAGAAUGAUUGAACAAAAACAUUUCAACUUAAGUGUGUUUCGAUAGCUAUUAUUUGGCUUCAAAUUAUUUGUUUGCAUCACAAACAUAAUUUUCAAAAUACCUUUUUAUCUUUCCAAUCAAUUUUUUAUCUCGCAUACAUUACAUCACAAAAAGUGCUAUAGUAAUUAUUCCAAAUAAUAUUUCAAAUAAUCCCCUAUCCAAUAAGAAAAAAAUCAUAUAUUCAAUAAUUUUCAGCGCGAUCAUAUGGUUGUAACUACAAAUAACCUACCAUGAAAAUACCUAUUUUUAGCUUCAUUUCAUCAUGUGAAUUUCUCGUGAUUUCAUUUUAGCAUCCUUAUUUUUUAAUUAAAACAAUCUUGUGAAAAAGCUUCCUGUAUAAGCAAAAACAAAAGAAGAAUACACAAUGGCAAAUUUUAGUUCAUAGUUAGCUUCCAUGUUCGUGAAAAAUUUUCUAGGAUGGAUUCUAAAUUGUGUCCCCCAUGUUCAAAGUUUAUUACUACACAACCAAAAAAGUCAUGCAGUUAUUUCACUCUACUUUCUUAUGCCAUUGCUUGGAAAAAUGUAAUCUAUAGGUCCACCACAUUCAAUAAUUGUACUACUACACUGCUAGGAAACUCACAAGCAAUUUCGCAAGUCUACUUUCUUAUCAAUAGCAGUACCACUACUUUGUCUUCGUUAAUAGACCAUCUCCAUUGCCAAAAAACCUUGCAUACACAAAUGUUCAAUUUCAAACUCUCCAUAAAACAAAUAAAAAAGAAAAAAGUCAUUUACUUUUGGGAAUGGAAAAAAAUUAAAAAUGUUCCUGCAUCAUAUUCGAGAAAUUUCUACCGAUAAAUAGGUGUAAAUGCGGCUCUUAGAGGGAAUCAUAGAAUGAUUGAACAAAAACACAAUGGAAGUUAUUUCACUCCCAAAUAAGGUAUUUCACAUCUUCAACAAUUUUCAAUGGGAUCAUAUGGUUGUAACUACAAAUAGCCUACUAUAAAAAUGAUAUUGAAGAUGGCAUUCAAAAACUUUGACCCCGAUUGUGAUAUUUCGCAGAAAAAUUUUUAUGUUUUUCACGAACACAUUUUUCAAUUAUUUUUUUACCUCGCAUACGUCAAACUGUUACAAUAUACUUUUUUUUUUUUUUUGCAGAAACUCUUAAAAUAGCAAUCCAAACGGGCUAGAUUUUACUACUUGUGCUGACUCAUCUUGACAAUUAUUGGGUCAUAAACAAUUGUAAUCUAGUGCCAAAAUUUCAAUCUUCUCAACCAUUUCAAGAUAGCAAGAAAAUGCCCCGAAUUCUAUAUAUAUUACUUGUAUGAUUUUUGAGUAUGGGUUAAUUUAACAUGUCCUGGAAGUUAUUUUAACAUCUCCAUCUUUAACUUCAUUUCAUCUUGCGGGUUUCUCAUAAUUUUAUUUUAGUGUCUUUAUAUUCAACUUAAAAUAAUCUUGUGAAAAAAAGCUACAGUACAAGCAAAAACAAAAGAAGCAUGGUAAUUAUCAAACCUUCUCUUUUUCAAUUGGUACAUAUAAAGUUAACUUGCAAGUUCCAACCGGUAAGAUGAAAUCUAAUUUAGGUCCCCCAUAUUCAGAAGUUAGGUCAUGCAAUAAUUUGAGCCUGCCUCUAUAGGUCCAGCACGUUGAGUAAUUGUUCUACUAUCCAACCAGGAAAGUCACGGCCAAUUUCACCCCACUUUCUUAUCAAUUACGGUACUGCUCCUACUUUCUCCUCUAUAUGAUACUCCAUCUUCCUAGCUAAAAGCCUUGCACAUACUGCAUUGUUUUAAUUUUGAUUCAAAUUAUCAUCUUCCUCGCCCGUGUUCUCUUUUUCACCAAACUUGGAUUUGACAGGGUAGGUUCACGAUAAACAGGCACUUUUCCCAUAUUCAUCAGAUCAGCUAUUGCCAGAGAUUUUAUUUUCUCUCAAGUAAGUGCUGAGAUUUGUUCACUUUUCUUGAAGUUCAAGGCUUUUUUUUUUUUUUUUUUUUUUAUAAACAUAGCCUCACCAUAUAAGGGAAUAUCUGCAGAUUCAACGGAUCAACCGUUGCCGGAGUGUUCAUUCUCUCCAAAGUGAGUGCUGAAUUUUUUUUUCUUUUUUUUUCAUACACAUUUUUUGGUUGAAAUAUAAAUGGCUUCCAUGUGUUUAUGACAUUCAUUCUACUAGCAUACUUUCAUAUGUUGGCGACUAGCUUCCAAGGCUAGAAUUUUUGCUUCCUGCUAUUCUUGAAACUAACAAGAAGGGUAAAACACUCAAAAUUGUACAGUGCAAAUGUGCAAUAUGCAUCCCAUGUUCAAAACUCUCUAUUACUAGACAACCCUGAAAGGUCAUGCAGUUAUUUUUUCAUUCUACUUUAUUAUGCCAUUGCUUGGAAAAAUUCUAAUCUAUAGGUCCACCACAUUCAAUAAUUGUACUGCUACAAGGCUAGGAAACUCAUGACCAAUUUAACAGAUCUACUUUCUUUUCAACAACAAUACUACUCCUUUCUCCUCAAUAAUAGAUCGUCUCCAUUGCCAAAAAGCCUUGCAUAUACGAACAGUUUCUACAUUUUUUCUUAAACUUUACUUUUGAGUAAUUAAGUAGCCUCACGAUAUACUAGCAAUUUUCCCAAACUCAACAGAUCAGCUACUCCCAGUGGUUUCUUUCUUUCUUUUAUUUUACUCUCAAGUAAGUGCUUAAUUUUUUUUUCCCUCAAACUUAAAGGAAUUUUUAUUUUUCUAUUUUUUUUUUUUGACGUAGCCUCGCCAGUAUAAACGGAAUUUCUGCAAAUCCAACAGAUCAGCUUUUGCCAGAGUGUUCAUUCUCUCCAAAGUAAGUGCUGAAUUUCUUUUCUUUUUAUUAUUAUUAUUAUUAUACACAUUUUUGGUUGAAAUAUAUAUAUCUGGCUUCCAUGUGUUUUUGACAUUUAUUCUUCUGCUACUAUGUACUUUUAUACGUUGCCGAGUAGCUUCCAGGGCUGGGAAUUAGCUUCCUGUUAUUCUUGGUAGUAUAUCAUACUAGUUUGGAUGCACGUGCUUUGCGCAUAACCCGCGUUGUGUGGUAAUUUUCUUAUAUUGCGUGGUUUUUUUUAUUAUUUUUUUAAUGCUAAGCAAAUUUUAGAAUGAAAGCUUUUCCUUUUUUCUCCGUUAUGGGCAUAUAGAUGAAUAAUCUAUCUUUUGGAAGGGAAUGAUUGGAGUAGGAAAUUCUAGGUUGACAUGCUUUCUAAUAAUAUUCAUGGAUAAGUUUUUAUGCAUAACAUUGUUAAACUUGCAUUUUUUUACAUGAAUUUUCUACUGUAGUUUUUAAAGAGUAAUUUGUGUAUGUAAGACAUUUUGUGUCAUUCUCAUACCUUAUCUUAGUGACGGCGCUUUUUGUCUUUCGAGAGUUUUCUUUCUGCAAUUAAUCAUGAAAAUUUGAUAGAGUCAUAAUUCAUGACAUUUUCUUAGAUCAGAAACUUGAAAUGAGAAACCAAAAAAGAAAAAUUAACAGUCCUUGAAAAGAAAAUGAGAAGUGAAAUAGGGACACUAACUAUCCUAAAGUUUAGGAUAAUGAUACAAUGAUAAUGUUAGAAUACUUCAGCUAUACUAUCUUUUUCGUAUCGAUUGACCCACUAAACUUUUAAAGCUAAUUAAUUGAACCAUUCCGUGUAGUUAGUGGUUAAAAAAAAUGAAACUUUCAGAAUUAGUGGGGAACUUUUGUCACUUUGUUAAUGAAAAAUAGUAUGGCGGAUUAAAUGGGAGUUUAGUAAAAUUAAGUGAAUCUUGAUACAAUUUGUUGGAAAACUUUUUGGAAACUAAAGAAGAAUGGAAAAAAAGGAAUGUCUUAGAAAAUGUUUAACACAACUAAUUCUCACAUUUUCAAAUCUUUUGAGCUAGUAUUAGAAAUACUUUAGUUAGGUGACCAUAAGAUCUGACAUUCGACUAUCAAAUUCUUAAUUUUUUUCUUUCCCAUUGUAAGGCUGAAGUCUCCCAUUCAAAGGGAAAAAAACAGUACUCGUAACUUUUAAGCUUUCUUUAGUUGACAUGAUGUAUCGUUAUAAAAUAGUAACCCAAAAUUUCAGUAGCUAAAAAUAGCCAUGCAAUCACACACACAAGGCAUGUAAAAAAUCUUCAGUUCUUCGUUUAUUUAUUUACUUUUGCAAGAUGGCGCAGUAGCUAUUCCUUCAUGCGGUUGAAGUGCCUACAAUCAAUUGGAAGUUGCUGAAAAGUGAUAAAAUCUUCCUAAUAUAAUUUCCAUGAUUUUGCAUUUUAGCUUCAGUCGUAGACUAGGCAUCUUCUUUCAAAAUCAAGUCAUCGUUUGGCUUUUUCUUUUUAAGAUUCCAUCUUUUGCUUUGGUUUGCUCUCUCUUUUUUAAAGAUUAUGACCCCAAAGAGGAACGGGUCAUCAAAAAGGAACCAAAGUGAAGUAGGACCUUGCUAGGAAGUCAUGGUUUUGCUCUGUUGAUAAAAAAUUUGCUAUUUUAUAAAAGGAUCAUAAUUGUAUAAUUACCCUUGUAAAUUUGAAAAUCAAAGACACAAUAAUGUAAAGUCAAAUUUUUACUAUCUCCCUUCUCUGCACGCUUUUCAACCACAAACUAUUAGGACCAGGAUUCAUAAUGUUUCUGUCUUACCUUGAAACAUUCAAAAUUUUAAAAAUCUGCAUGAACAUCUAUCACAACUAAAAGAGGAUGGUACUGGUUAGUCAAAAAAGUAAAAAUCAAAUCGCAAGUAACUUAUCAGUUAUGACUAUACCUGGCAAUUGGGCGGGUUGGACGGAUUUUGGACGAGUUGAUAUUGGGUUUUUACUUAAAUGGAUUAUACCCAACCCGCCCAACUUUAAAUCGGGUUAGUUUUGGGUUGGGUCAUAUUGGGUCAUCUCAAACCCAAGACCCAAAUAUGACCCAAUAUAUUAAUUAAUAGAUUUUGAUACAUAAAUUCUCUCAAAUAUAUUUUUGCAUACAAAAAUUUUUUUUCACACACUAAAACAAUUUUGGUCCAAGUUGAAUAUAGCAUGAAAAAAUGUUAUACCAAUAUUAAACAAGAUCCAAUCAUGCCUUAAUUAAAUUGAAACUUGAUAAGAGAGAUACAAUUCUCAACCAAUUAGUUCAAAUAUCACUAUCCAAUUCAUUUGAGAUUUGUGAAUUGUGACUUUUGGGUUCCUUUUAUUCAUUAUUAAAUAACCUCACUUUGCACUUUUUACACAAUUAUUGUGGUUGAAUAUCAAUCUUGUCUUGUGAUAAACCUUCAUGUCAAGGGCCAAAAAAGGGGAAAAAAAAGACGAAGAAGAAAGAAAAUUGGACCCAUGAAUGAUCUAAUUGACAAAUUUUAAUUAAUAAUUGAGCAACUUAUGAAAGCAAUUAAAAAUUUGCUUGCAUAUUUUGCUAGAUUUUUUAGGAACUAGUAAAUGCUUAAAAACACGAGUUGCUAAUAGAAUCUCUCCGUCCAAAAGAUAACAAUGGAAAAAAAUAUGUAUAUGUACAUUAACAUGCAGUUGAACAGUAAUCUUCACAAUCCUAAAACCAAUUAGUAAAGGAACAAGAUGUGUAUGGACUUGCAAGUUUGCUAUCUUAAAGGGAAAAAAAAAAAAAAAAAAAAACAGCAAGCGCGAUGCAGUUGACAAGAAUGUGCCAAAAUGCUUAAAGUUAAGAAAACGGUGGUGGAUUGAAAAUUCCCGACGAGAGGCCUCCAUUGUUUUUUUAAGUUGGGUAAUGGGUACCCAACUUAAUUACCCAAACCGCCCAAAAUACAUGUGAGUUUUUAUUAUCCAACCUAAAAUUAACCCAACAUCCAAUUUACCCAACCCAGCCUCUUAAAUUAGUGGGUGGAUUGGGUGGAUUGUUGGAUUUUGGGUAUAAUUGCCACCUCUAGUUAUGACAUCCAAUUCUUUAGUUGGCCUGAUUUGAAAUUGUAAAUCAUCGUGGCACAUUAACAAAAAAUUACACAAAUUACAGUAGUUAAAACACACACACAAAAAGGCAUAUACUACACUUUUUCGUCCAUCAUUUAUUUACUUUUGCAAGAGGGUGCAAAAGUAAAUCAUACGAAAGGUCCUGAAGGGUGAAGACCCCACGGACAGCAAAGUCUUUCUAAUAGCUUCCACGAAUUUGCAUUUUAGCUUCAUUUGCAGACAGGGCACCUUCGUCUUUCAAAAUCAAGUCGUUGUCUGGCUUCUUCUUUUUAAUUUCCAUCAUUUUGCUUUAGGGUGUUCUUUCUUUCUUGACAAUUAAUACUUCAUUUCCCUACAGUUUCUUUCUUCUGAGGAACCACUAUCGUGGAUCAUAGGUGAAAGAAGCAACACAAUAUCACUAUAAGUAAAAGAGUACAAGAGAGAGAGAGCACAAAACCCUACAAAAUAAUUCCAAGGUCCAAAUGUAUCUAAAACUAAAAACACUUGAGAUCUUUUUUUUUUUUUUUUUUUUUUGGAAGCAUAACACUCGAGAUUUUAAAGAAGCACACAAAUGUCUUAUAAAAUCAAAAUUCCUAAAGUUUAGGAUAAUGUUAGAAUACUUCAGAAUUUUGCUAUACCCUCUUUUUCGUAUGGAUUGACCCACUAAAAUUUUAAAGCUAUUUAAUUGAACCAUUCCGUCUAGUUAGUGGUUAAAAAGCUGGGAACUUAUAAAACACAGCAGCAGAUUGCAAUUAGUGGGGAACUUUUGUAGCUUCGUUAAUGAAAAAUAGUAUGGCAGACUAAAUAGGACUUUAGGAAAAUUAAGUGAAUUUGAUGCUAUUUGUUGGCAAACUUCUUGGAAACCGAAGAAGAAUGGAAAAGAGAAAUAUCUUAAAAAAAGUUAAACACAACUAAUGCUCACAUUCUUAAAUUUUUUGGGGUAGUAUUAAAAAUACUUUAGUAGGUGACCAUGAGAUUUUUCCUACUAACUUUAAUCACAUGCCAAAUAAAAUGUUGCUUUUUAAAGAACAUACCAUUGCAGGUGAAAAGUACUGCCACAAACUCGAUUUGUCAAGUGACAAGAUCAUUACUUCAGAAAAGGGUAUGCUGAUUUUUGCCUCUAUCUUCCGCACUUUUCAGAAAGAAAAAAAAAAGGAGCAUAAUCAUUUAUAUGAGUUAAUAGUGACAGAAAAAAAAAAGAGUAUGUCCCUUUAAAGGAUAAACCAAAAAAAGGGUAUAAUCACUUAUUUGUGCUUUAUGAUUAUCCUAUUUGAACUACUCCUCUAUUUUCUUUUUCUUUUUUUACACUUUUCCUAUUUUUUCUUUUGACAAUGCCGUUCUUGAUAAUCCCUAAAAUACUAUCCUCUUCCAGUUUGUCUUAUUUUUCUCACAGUAUUUUUUUCUAGUUUCUGGUUGCUUUUAAGACAUAAAGAUAUAUGGAUUAGAAUUUUAUUAAUGUCCUUGAAAUCACAAAUGCACUCAAAAAUUUGUGGAACUUAUCAUCUUAUAAAUAUUGGUAAGACUAAAAACUGCUUAGACUCUAUACACUAAACAAAAAUUUAGUAUUUUUCUUUAUUUGAGCUAUUUAAUUAUUCUCAUUUUUAUAACAACUCCUGUACUCUAGAUUCUAAAAGAAACAAAAUUUUUCCAAUCUCUGUGAAUUCGAUCCUACUAACCACUAUAUAUAAAAUCUGUAUUUUUAUUAGAAUAAAUUUUUAUUAUUACAUAGGCCCGACACUUGUCAACUAUCCCCUUCCAGUUUGUCUUAUUUUUCUCACAGUAUUUUUUUCUAGUUUCUGGUUGCUUUUAAGACAUAAAGAUAUAUGGAUUAGAAUUUUAUUAAGGUCCUUGAAAUCACAAAUGCACUCAAAAAAUUUGUGGAACUUAUCAUCUUAUAAAUAUUGGUACUACUAAAAACUGCUUAGACUCUAUAUAUUUAGAAAAUAAUGGCCAACAAUAUUAAAUUAUUAAAGUGUACCCCUAAAAAAGUAAAAAAAAAUGACAAGAAAUCUUUCUCACACGACUUUGACAAUUCUUUUUGUAGGAAUGAUAUCAAGAUGACAAACACUUACCGAAAAGAAUAUGGUUUUAGUUGUCAUGGGAUUCAAGUAACUUGAGUAAUUGACUCUCAAAGUUAUGACUAGCAACAAAUUUCACCGGUAAAUUUUAAAUAUUUAACUAAGGUAACUGUUUUGAUAUAGGAAUUUGAAAAAAAAAAAAAGGUAAUAACUCAAUCAAUUGAACUACUGCUUUUUAGCCUAUCACUCCAAAAUAUAUUCAGGAAAAGCCAAUAAAAGAAUUCCUUUUAUUUUUUUGGGAUAAUUUCAGAAACCUCCCCUGAGGUUUCUGACAAUUUCACUGACCUCCCCUGAGGUUUCCACAAUUACACUAACCUCCCUUGAGGUUUCUGAUUUUGUAACAAAAUCAGCCCAUGACCACAAAAGUAAACAUAAAAAAGUGUUUUCAGGAAAGAGAGGAAAUUUUGUUCCCAUAAAUGCCCUUAAGGUAGGUGUACAAGUUAUAUUAGUGAAUUAAUGAAAACUAAUAAAAAUCAGAAAUAAAUAAGAAAAAGUGAGGGGAUGGGUAUGGGAAUCAUAAAAUUUUACUUAUGGAUAUAAACAAUUGGGUAACGCAACCGACCCAAUUAACCCAUCUACCACCACUCAGGUCAUUUCACAAAUACAUUCAUCAGACAAAGCUUUCCUCUUGUCACAAAAAUUCAAAGCAAUGUGGUACAUGUUCACAAGCAAGCAGGUUAAAAUCCCGCCUGCAUAAUAACGUUGAAACCCUGCAAGCGGGAUUCUGUGUUUUUUCUAUUUCAAGGUUAGCUCGCAUGCGGGUUAAUGUUAUAUUUGAGCGCGAGAAGAAAAAAUUGGUAAUUAGGCUCUUUGGGCAUUAUAAGUAAAUAUUUAAAUUAAUGGCAG